GUUUGCAUAAUUCAUAACGACCAACUUAUUUAUAUCCCAUAUCUGUCCCUCCAUCUUUGUCCUUUCCCCUGCUCCAUGUGUACAUCUAUGUUCUUUUCUAAGGCAGUGUUGCUAGCAAAGCAAAGGAAUAGUGGAAUCGUUCCAGCCUGGUAAUCCUUCUGAAUACAGCCCUCCAUGACAGGAGGAAGACCAACCGGGAGACAGAAAAGAUGGGAAUAUUGGAACCAGUGUCUGUCCCUGCCAGAAACACCCCUCCAACCCGAGACACACCCCUCCAGCCAGAGACACACCCCUCCAGCCAGAGACACACCCCUCCAGCCAGAGACACACCCCUCCACCACUUCCUUCUGGCCACAACUAAAGUACUGUACUAUUUGAUACGGGGGAUGCUGUGUGGCAGUCUGCGUCUCCGAAUACUCACUGCACGGCAAAAACCUGGUGGAGGCCAUUUUGUCAGAUAUAACCAUAAUUGCGGGUCCCCAUACCGACACAGACCUGGAUCUCGCACACGCAGGCACACACAGAGAAAACUGGAGGAUAUUUUUGGGCAGUGAUUCCCUGAAGUAUGUGAAUCAGCAGGCUCAGCGUAUUUUCUCUGGAGAUGCUCUGCCAUAUCAUCCAAAAAAAUGCAACCCAUUUCACAGACGAGCUGCUGUUCAACAUGUGUAUUUUCAUCUGUGGAUGAAUGUCAGAUCCACGCCGACCUCCUGGACCGAGUUCCUGAUCUGUCGGAACCGUGACUUUUUUUCUACCUUUAUUAUGCUGAGACUGCUCCGGUUAAGCCUCCGCCGGUCAAGACUCCUCCGGUUAUCCCCUGUAGAGGUCUUUGGUGGCCUGACAGGUGAUUUGUUGAGCUCACCAGUGCUCCCUUGUUUCUUCCUCAGGAUUUUCUUAUGUUAAGUCCAUUUAAAGGGUUCAUGAGACUGACUGAGCUGAAAAGAACCUAGUGGAGCGUACAUCCUCGUCUGCAGACUAUGGCAGCAGACUAUACCCA